CAUAAAUUACAAGCACACACACGUCAUUUGUUUGAUCGUCUUCAACUUCUUGAUCCGAUCCGGAGCUACAAUUUGAUCCGAUCCUAUCACAUCUUGAUCCGACCGCCAUCAACUGCUCAUCUCGAUCAAGUCUUUUUAUACUUCUCGACUUGCAAUCGAUCAACCAAUGACAUGCAACCAUACAUUAUAUAACCCAACAAUAAAAAUGAAAUAAAAAUUAACUACAUUUGAUAACUUUUAUCUCUAACCUAUUGAGACACGCAGGUCUCCAAAUAAAUCGGCUUGUGCACGCAGACACAAAUAUAGCCAUCUCUAAUACAAAGUCCUUAAUUUAAACAAAUUUAAAAUUACAGAAUUCUGCAUACACAUCAAACAUCACAUGUCGAAACAAAAAUAAAUAGGUCGCUAUCCAUAAUCAUCACCGAUAUGUAUCUCAUACAUCACAUACAUAAUAAACAAUUUUGGAUAUUCUAAUUAACCGUUCAACGAUGAUUCGAAAAAUUAGUGACUAAAUUAUUAAAAACAAUCAAUCUUAUUGAUCAUUUAUAAUUUUGAUCAACAACUUAAUUUUCAAACAUAACAACUUGACCUCUUCAAGUUAUUAAUUCGAUCUAAUCNCAUACAUCACAUACAUAAUAAAUAAUUUUGGAUAUUCUAAUUAACCGUUCAACGAUGAUUCGAAAAAUUAGUGACUAAAUUAUUAAAAACAAUCAAUCUUAUUGAUCAUUUAUAAUCUUGAUCAACAACUUAAUUUUCAAACAUAACAACUUGACCUCUUCAAGUUAUUAAUUCGAUCUAAUCAAAUUAGGUCUCUCUCUCUCUCUCUCUCUCUCUCUCUCUCUAUAUAUAUAUAUAUAUAUAUAUAUAUAUGCUUCUUGGCUAGAUAAUUUUAAUCUUGAAGAACAUGAGGAUGGCUCUGAUACUACUGUGAUAAAAUUGAGUACGGUAAAAACGUAGCGGAAAAAGAAAUCAAACAAAUUUGAUUUUGAAAACUCUCGAGAUCCAAUCUCAAAAACCACGCAAUUAGGAUCCUUUAUGUUCUUUAAGAUUAAAAGAGAAUAGCAAGAUCGAAUCUUUACCUUUUUCGCGGAUAGAUCUUCACCUCAACUUGAUGAUCGUGGAAUCGGGUUCUCUUGAAGCCGCAAACGCAUCCGGCCUCUAUAGGUAUCCACACGAGGUUCUUGAUUUGAUCGAUGUCCUCACCGGGAUGCUAGCUCCCUUGCAAAGGACAUCUUUCUUGCUAGAAUAUAGAAAAGAGAGGAGAAGAGAAAUGACGAAUAGGGUUUUCUAAAAACUCUCGUAUAUUAUAUAGAGGAAUAUAAUUCUCUUUCUAAUAAUAUAAUGACAAUUAAGGAUAAGUACAAAUCUAGAUUUAAAUUUAUCCUUUCCUUAAUUGGUUAGAUCGAUCAAAUCCUAAUUUGAUUCGACUUGAACUUUAUAUUAAUUUGAUCUUAUCAAAUUAAUAAUGCAACAUUUGCACAUAAGUCCUCUUAUAAUUUACUAACUAUUAGUAAGUCCUCUCUUGUAACAUUUAUACUUUAAUACUACUAAUUUGUAACAAUUACAAAUUAGUUCAAUUAUCAACAUAUUGACAAUUAAGUCCUCCGGCGAUUCAAUAAUCGCGAUCUAGCUAUCCGAUCAAUCACAACCUCUUAUGUGUGUGACCCCAUAGGUUCUAUUCUAUCUGGUAGUAAGAUAUAUUUUGAUCACUAUCAACAAUAUCACUGAAACUCCUUUCAGUGGAUCGGAACAAUUCCAACUUAGCCCAAUGAGAAUUAUCGAUCAUCUAGAUAUAUAAUUCUCAUGAGUCCCACAAUCCACCAGUGACACCUAGCAGCAUGUAGUGGCAUUCCAGUAGAAUGGAAUACUGAACCUCUUGGUGCAGUUACCGUGUGAUACAGUCCUUCUAUCAUGAGUCCCGACUAGACGAAGGUUAUGGAAUAACUCGUCAAACCCCAUCAUCUGUCAUAUGUUAAAUUUAUUCGACUCGAGUUUCUAAUAUCGGAAGCACUUUUUCCACUAUUAACUCUGUCUUGGCCAAGGUCUUCUAAACUCGGUCUCAUAAAUCACAUAGGACUAACACCCCUAUCUACCAAGAAAAAUAGAUUCCAUCUAAGUGCGCACCCUAUUCCUACAAUGAACCUACUGCAGCCAACAUGCACCGCAAGGACCCGAAUGGCUAGGGACCAAGUGUAUGUACAGUCAAACUACAGUAACCUCAUUGUGAA
rnacentral:lncRNA from 1 species